rnacentral:rRNA from 1 species
GGGCUGCAGUGGGGAAUAUUGGGCAAUGGAGGAAACUCUGACCCAGCGACGCCGCGUGAGGGAUGAAGGCCUUCGGGUUGUAAACCUCUUUCAGUAGGGAAGAAGCGAAAGUGACGGUACCUACAGAAGAAGCACCGGCUAACUAUGUGCCAGCAGCCGCGGUAAUACAUAGGGUGCAAGCGUUGUCCGGAAUUAUUGGGCGUAAAGAGCUCGUAGGUGGUUCGAUACGUCGGAUGUGAAAAUCAGGGGCUCAACCCCUGACCUGCAUCCGAUACGGUCGAGCUAGAGUUUGGUAGGGGAGACUGGAAUUCCUGGUGUAGCGGUGGAAUGCGCAGAUAUCAGGAGGAACACCGAUGGCGAAGGCAGGUCUCUGGGCCAAUACUGACACUGAGGAGCGAAAGCGUGGGGAGCGAACAGGAUUAGAUACCCCUGUAGUC